CACCAGUUCACUGCGCUUAGAUGUCUCGCGUUAUUUAAUUUGGGGUGUAAGCCUGAAAGCUAGGUUUCAGUCGUGAGCCAUGUGGAACACGUCUGCAUCGAAAUGGGAGCCGGGUCCUGCUGCAACUGGGGACAGCAAUACCGACAUGCAGUAAUGAGGAUGGCACCAGUAUAAAGCAACACACUCCAUGCACUAAACAGAAGCUGCUGCCUGCUACAACAAGGUCAUUGUGUGGACUUUGGCUGCUACUACAAGAGUCUGUGCCAAGUACAUCUUGGUCAUCACGGGAGCCCCCAUCUACACCAACAGGAAGGGGCUGGAGCUGAAUUCGCAAGACCACAAACAAGGAAGCCAUUCCAGAAUUAUUUGGAUGAGAUAUCAAGUCUACGGACGACUGUUUCAAGAGUGAAAAGAGCCUACGCCAUCAUUCCACCAGCACGGAUAUUGGCCGAGUCAUCCAGGUACCUCAACAACAAAAAUUAUUUGUCUUCAGAUGUACCUGCAACCUCUGAACAAGCACAGAUGACGCUGGCUAAGAGUGUUCUGUCAGCUUGCCCUUCCUUAGUGAGCUUCCUGGCCUUGCCAGUUCUUGCCAAGUAUAAUUUUGUUUCAAUGAAUGCAAGCUUUUUCAUUCCACACUUUUGUUAGAGAUCAUUCCUAUUCCUCAUACAAACAAUAAAGGUCAACCGAUUCUUUGCUCAUACUUAAUGCCAGUCAGUGUAUAG